rnacentral:rRNA from 1 species
AGGGAAUCUUCGGCAAUGGGGGCAACCCUGACCGAGCAACGCCGCGUGAGUGAAGAAGGUUUUCGGAUCGUAAAGCUCUGUUGUAAGUCAAGAACGGGUGUGAGAGUGGAAAGUUCACACUGUGACGGUAGCUUACCAGAAAGGGACGGCUAACUACGUGCCAGCAGCCGCGGUAAUACGUAGGUCCCGAGCGUUGUCCGGAUUUAUUGGGCGUAAAGCGAGCGCAGGCGGUUUGAUAAGUCUGAAGUUAAAGGCUGUGGCUCAACCAUAGUUCGCUUUGGAAACUGUCAAACUUGAGUGCAGAAGGG